rnacentral:rRNA from 1 species
CCUACGAGAGGCAGCAGUGAGGAAUAUUGGUCAAUGGGCGCGAGCCUGAACCAGCCAAGUAGCGUGAAGGAUGACUGCCCUACGGGUUGUAAACUUCUUUUAUCAAGGAAUAAAGUGAGGCACGUGUGCCUUUUUGUAUGUACUUUAUGAAUAAGGCUCGGCUAACUCCGUGCCAGCAGCCGCGGUAAUACGGAGGAUCCGAGCGUUAUCCGGAUUUAUUGGGUUUAAAGGGUGCGUAGAUGGGUUGUUAAGUCAGUUGUGAAAGUUUGGGGCUCAACCGUAAAAUUGCAGUUGAUACUGGCAGUCUUGAGUACAGUUGAGGUAGGCGGAAUGCGUGGUGUAGCGGUGAAAUGCUUAGAUAUCACGAAGAACUCCGAUUGCGAAGGCAGCUUACUAAACUGCCACUGACAUUGAUGCUCGAAAGUGUGGGUAUCAAACAGGAUUAGAUACCCGGGUAGUC